rnacentral:ribozyme from 13 species
AGAGAGAAGAAGAAAGAAGAAACAAAUCAGAAUAUAAAAACCUCAAAUAUUCUGGUUGUGAUUCCUUCUUCUCUCUGACAGAGAGAGGAUCCUUUUUUUUUUCCCAUCAUCUCAGAUUUGUG